UAUGAGGUGAACAUGUUAAAGGUACUGUAGUGAAUUGAUUCAAUGGAAACUUAUACUAUGUCUCCUCAUUAUGAGGUGAACAUGUUAAAGGUACUGUAGUGAAUUGAUUCAAUGGAAACUUAUACUAUGUCUCCUCAUUAUGAGGUGAACAUGUUAAAGGUACUGUAGUGAAUUGAUUCAAUGGAAACUUAUACUAUGUCUCCUCAUUAUGAGGUGAACAUGUUAAAGGUACUGUAGUGAAUUGAUUCAAUGGAAACUUAUACUAUGUCUCCUCAUUAUGAGGUGAACAUGUUAAAGGUACUGUAGUGAAUUGAUUCAAUGGAAACUUAUACUAUGUCUCCUCAUUAUGAGGUGAACAUGUUAAAGGUACUGUAGUGAAUUGAUUCAAUGGAAACUUAUACUAUGUCUCCUCAUUAUGAGGUGAACAUGUUAAAGGUACUGUAGUGAAUUGAUUCAAUGGAAACUUAUACUAUGUCUCCUCAUUAUGAGGUGAACAUGUUAAAGGUACUGUAGUGAAUUGAUUCAAUGGAAACUUAUACUAUGUCUCCUCAUUAUGAGGUGAACAUGUUAAAGGUACUGUAGUGAAUUGAUUCAAUGGAAACUUAUACUAUGUCUCCUCAUUAUGAGGUGAACAUGUUAAAGGUACUGUAGUGAAUUGAUUCAAUGGAAACUUAUACUAUGUCUCCUCAUUAUGAGGUGAACAUGUUAAAGGUACUGUAGUGAAUUGAUUCAAUGGAAACUUAUACUAUGUCUCCUCAUUAUGAGGUGAACAUGUUAAAGGUACUGUAGUGAAUUGAUUCAAUGGAAACUUAUACUAUGUCUCCUCAUUAUGAGGUGAACAUGUUAAAGGUACUGUAGUGAAUUGAUUCAAUGGAAACUUAUACUAUGUCUCCUCAUUAUGAGGUGAACAUGUUAAAGGUACUGUAGUGAAUUGAUUCAAUGGAAACUUAUACUAUGUCUCCUCAUUAUGAGGUGAACAUGUUAAAGGUACUGUAGUGAAUUGAUUCAAUGGAAACUUAUACUAUGUCUCCUCAUUAUGAGGUGAACAUGUUAAAGGUACUGUAGUGAAUUGAUUCAAUGGAAACUUAUACUAUGUCUCCUCAUUAUGAGGUGAACAUGUUAAAGGUACUGUAGUGAAUUGAUUCAAUGGAAACUUAUACUAUGUCUCCUCAUUAUGAGGUGAACAUGUUAAAGGUACUGUAGUGAAUUGAUUCAAUGGAAACUUAUACUAUGUCUCCUCAUUAUGAGGUGAACAUGUUAAAGGUACUGUAGUGAAUUGAUUCAAUGGAAACUUAUACUAUGUCUCCUCAUUAUGAGGUGAACAUGUUAAAGGUACUGUAGUGAAUUGAUUCAAUGGAAACUUAUACUAUGUCUCCUCAUUAUGAGGUGAACAUGUUAAAGGUACUGUAGUGAAUUGAUUCAAUGGAAACUUAUACUAUGUCUCCUCAUUAUGAGGUGAACAUGUUAAAGGUACUGUAGUGAAUUGAUUCAAUGGAAACUUAUACUAUGUCUCCUCAUUAUGAGGUGAACAUGUUAAAGGUACUGUAGUGAAUUGAUUCAAUGGAAACUUAUACUAUGUCUCCUCAUUAUGAGGUGAACAUGUUAAAGGUACUGUAGUGAAUUGAUUCAAUGGAAACUUAUACUAUGUCUCCUCAUUAUGAGGUGAACAUGUUAAAGGUACUGUAGUGAAUUGAUUCAAUGGAAACUUAUACUAUGUCUCCUCAUUAUGAGGUGAACAUGUUAAAGGUACUGUAGUGAAUUGAUUCAAUGGAAACUUAUACUAUGUCUCCUCAUUAUGAGGUGAACAUGUUAAAGGUACUGUAGUGAAUUGAUUCAAUGGAAACUUAUACUAUGUCUCCUCAUUAUGAGGUGAACAUGUUAAAGGUACUGUAGUGAAUUGAUUCAAUGGAAACUUAUACUAUGUCUCCUCAUUAUGAGGUGAACAUGUUAAAGGUACUGUAGUGAAUUGAUUCAAUGGAAACUUAUACUAUGUCUCCUCAUUAUGAGGUGAACAUGUUAAAGGUACUGUAGUGAAUUGAUUCAAUGGAAACUUAUACUAUGUCUCCUCAUUAUGAGGUGAACAUGUUAAAGGUACUGUAGUGAAUUGAUUCAAUGGAAACUUAUACUAUGUCUCCUCAUUAUGAGGUGAACAUG